rnacentral:rRNA from 1 species
UGGGGAAUAUUGCACAAUGGGGGAAACCCUGAUGCAGCAACGCCGCGUGAGUGAUGACGGUCUUCGGAUUGUAAAGCUCUGUCUUUAGGGACGAUAAUGACGGUACCUAAGGAGGAAGCCACGGCUAACUACGUGCCAGCAGCCGCGGUAAUACGUAGGUGGCAAGCGUUGUCCGGAUUUACUGGGCGUAAAGGGAGCGUAGGUGGAUAUUUAAGUGGGAUGUGAAAUACCCGGGCUUAACCUGGGUGCUGCAUUCCAAACUGGAUAUCUAGAGUGCAGGAGAGGAAAGUAGAAUUCCUAGUGUAGCGGUGAAAUGCGUAGAGAUUAGGAAGAAUACCAGUGGCGAAGGCGGCUUUCUGGACUGUAACUGACACUGAGGCUCGAAAGCGUGGGGAGCAAACAGGAUUAGAUACCCUGGUAGU